GAUGAACGCUGGCGGCGUGCCUAAUACAUGCAAGUCGAGCGAACAGACGAGGAGCUUGCUCCUCUGACGUUAGCGGCGGACGGGUGAGUAACACGUGGAUAACCUACCUAUAAGACUGGGAUAACUUCGGGAAACCGGAGCUAAUACCGGAUAAUAUAUUGAACCGCAUGGUUCAAUAGUGAAAGACGGUUUUGCUGUCACUUAUAGAUGGAUCCGCGCCGCAUUAGCUAGUUGGUAAGGUAACGGCUUACCAAGGCAACGAUGCGUAGCCGACCUGAGAGGGUGAUCGGCCACACUGGAACUGAGACACGGUCCAGACUCCUACGGGAGGCAGCAGUAGGGAAUCUGCCGCAAUGGGCGAAAGCCUGACGGAGCAACGCCGCGUGAGUGAUGAAGGUCUUCGGAUCGUAAAACUCUGUUAUGAGGGAAGAACAAAUGUGUAAGUAACUAUGCACGUCUUGACGGUACCUAAUCAGAAAGCCACGGCUAACUACGUG
rnacentral:rRNA from 1 species